CACGUGCCCGGAAUCACCUGACUCGGAGCCGUGGAGGGGGGAGGAGGAGUCACGAGGAGGGUGGCCGGGCCGAGCCCUCUGCCCUCCGCCCCAGCCCGCACCUCGGUCCAAGCCAGCCACGCGCCUUGCUCCUCACCGUCCUCCUGCCUUCUUCGGGACUCCGGAGGCCAACGCAAUGAGUGACGCUCUCUGGGCACUUGGGAGAAUUGAUUGUCCUCCUCCUACUAUUGUGCUUGCCCAACCAAUACUUACUGAUGCCCGCGAAGUCCUGGGGCACAAGGGGCACAAAACUGGAACUACCUUGGACCCUGCCUGCCCUCAAGUUGCCCCAAGGUUAAUGGAGAUCGGACCUCUGAGAUCUGACGACGACUCCUCCCCACCCAGUAUCUACUUCUGUAGUAAUUCCAUCACCCCAUGAAACAUUGCAUCUUGUGUGAUUCCUUCAGAUCAGAGACCAAAGGCAUUAAUAAUGAAAGCUGACCAGAACAAAUGCUUGUCACCAAAAUAUGGGAAAGCUAGAGGAAUUUUACUCUUCACAGGGCAGCUUUAGAAUUGGAAAUUUAACCAAUUUCCUCCUCCAGGGUCCUCCUAAGGGGACAUGGGUGGUGAUAUUGAUCUUUCAAGGAAACUUUCUUGAUUAUGAAGGGAAAGCACGUAUGCACAUCUAGAAGUUGGUUUUGUCUGAAUCUCAGAGUUAAAGGUAGGACAUCCUUAGAGGUCAUCUAGUGCAACCUCUCACCUAAAAAGAAUCUACUGUACAGCGUCUCUGACACUGCAUGAAAGACUUGCAGCAUACAUUUCAGUAGAGCCCAGGGAAGAGAGCUCACUAUCUCAGUAGGAAACAAUUCCGCUGUAGUAAAACUUGGCUUAGAAGUCUCUUAUUCAGGCCAAAAAUCACACUCCUUGGAGCUUAUACACCACAGUCUAUUAGCAGUGGUCAUCUUUUUUAUGACAGCACCUCAGAUACUGGAUUACAGUCUUCAUUACCCACUGUCUUCUCUGUUCCACAUUAAACAUACUUCAGCCCAGCCUUCUACAGUAAUGUCCAAUAGCACUUCGUGUGAUGACAGAAAUGUUCCACAUCUAUACUGCUCAACAUAGUAGCCAGUGUGGAUUGAGCACUUAAAUUGCUGCUAGUGUGACUCAGGAACUGAAUUUUUAAUUUUACUUGCCAGAUGUGGCUAGCAGCCACCAUGUUGGACAAUACAGCUUUGUGGUUUCAAAUGUACUCUCCACAUUUAUAUGCAAUUGAGCUUGUCAACAUCCAUCAAAUGUCUGACACCUACAACACAAUAGGACCAAUAGAGACUUCAGGGUGAUUGUUUAGCACCUGGACAGUAUUUCUAUUAGUGCUUUCCAGAAUGGAAUUUUUUAAAAAAAUAUACAGACUGUAAGUGGUUCACACUAACAGUCACUGGACCCAGCACAUUGUCAGCAAUCCCUAAGUGCCUAAACUCGUACAGCUGCAUUUUUAACCUCAGUGUAAGACUUGAUAUUUCAACUUUUUCAUUUAGGCCGUGAAGUUUAGGCAUUCCCAAGUUGUGAAUCAUUUUCAAGCUCAUCUCAGUAUCGUCUACCAACCAGCCCUUCCAACUCUGUGGCAAAUAGAGAAUUAGCAUUACUACCAUCUGACCCAUAUGUAGUCCUUUACAAUUUGCAAGGUACUUUUUACAUCCGUUAUAUUUAAUCCUUAUAACACCUUGUGAGAUAGGCAAGAUAUGAAAUCUACAUUUUACAGAUAAGGCAGCUGCAACAGCAGGAACUGAACAGAUCGGAUCCUUUUUUUACUCCAUUGAGCAUCAUGUAUACUUGUCUUCAUCCAGAUCCUUGAUAGAAACGUUGAAGAGGACCUGCAGAGGCCAGGCUCACCCUGAAUUCUUACAUAGCACUGACUGAUACAGCAGUGUAAGCAUGUCAUUUCCCCCCAAAAGUCUGAUUAUCCAACUCACAGGUUGCCAUUUUUCAAAAGGAUGGUACAGGAGACAAUCACCUGAUUUACAUAAAUAUUAAUACCAGUCUUAUUAGGGAAAAAAAUAAGUGCUGGCUGCCAGAAAAAAUUUCUACUUGCCUGUCCACAAAGGGACUAUCACACUAACUGCUUAAAGAAGCCAUGUCUCCUCUUCCAAAACCCCCCAUGAGGCCAUGUUUUAUUAUCAUUUACCAUUCUUAGCACAUCCUAUCCCACACUGUGAUUAUAUACAUGUCUUAUAGUUAACUUCAAGUCAUUCAUCUUUGUAAUACUCAGCCCACUGCUGUCCCUGUAGGAGGCACUCAAACUGGUAAAAGAUAAACCAAUUCAAGUAAAUGUUCUUCCAGCCAUAUCUGCUCCUGCUGCUAACUCGCCUCAGUCGUGUCCGACUCUGUGCGACCCCCGAGACGGCAGCCCACCAGGCUCCCCCGUCCCUGGGAUUUUCCAGGCAAGAGUACUGGAGUCGGGGGCCACUGCCAUAUCUGAUUCCCCUACAAAAACCAACCUGGGACUGGAAGAAACAGACCACUGCCACAUUCCUGCCAAUGUGACUGAUGAAGAUGCCCUUAUAAUUGGCUUGGUCACAGCUUCUAGCAGGUGCUAAGGCUUCUGCUAGUUAAAAACCAGCUUUCAUUGUAUUGUUUUCUCUGUGUGUUUUGACCAAAAAAUAAGGACAUUUGUGUAACACUGGGGAUAAAAAAACAUGAAAUAGGGCUGCUACUUAAUAAUGCUAGUCAAUCAAUAAGGAAAAUAAGUGAAAAGUAACACAAAAACAUCUGACUGUAGGUCUUCCAAGAAAGGAAAAAGGACUAACAAACAAGAAUAUAGUGCUUUACCAUUUACAAAUCUUUCACAUACAUUCCAUUUGACCCUCACAACAACCCUGUGAGGUAGGCAGCACAGAUAUUUUCAUUUAACAGGUGAGGAAAGUGAAUCUUGGAGCAAUUAACUAAUGUGCCCCAGGUUCUACAAUUGGUGAAUAACUGGUAUUCACAUCAGUCUUUGGCCUACAGAUUCAGCACCCCACCUCCCCUCACACUUGCCUACCUACUUCACAGGGAUAAUGAAGAUAAAAUGAAUUCAAAGCUAGAAAAAUACUUUGAGGGAAAAAAGCACUGUAUAAUUAUACCCACGAACUAUAAUUUUCCACAAUAUAUGGCUCAUUCCCCUUGUCAUCCAGGCUUGUGCGUGAACCCAGAAUUUUAUAUUGCCUCUGUUCUGUGUCCCGCUAAGCAACUAAGUAAGGCAGGGGAACAGUGUGAUCCUCUUUAAGUUUAUAUAAAUUACAAUCAGGGUAACUGCUAUUACAGGAAAUUGAAAAACAACACAGAAAGG